CUUCCAUCUGAGAAUCUGGAGACAGGUGCUGCAUGGCUGUCGUCAGCUCGUGUCGUGAGAUGUUGGGUUAAGUCCCGCAACGAGCGCAACCCUUGCCUUUAGUUGCCAGCAGUUCGGCUGGGCACUCUAAAGGGACUGCCGGUGUUAAACCGGAGGAAGUGGGGAUGACGUCAAGUCCUCAUGGCCUUUAUGACCAGGGCUACACACGUACUACAGUGGCCGAUACAAAGGGCAGCGACACUGCGAGGUGAAGCCAAUCCCGUAAAAUCGGUCUCAGUCCGGAUUGGAGUCUGCAACUCGACUCCAUGAAGUUGGAAUCGCUAGUAAUCGUGGAUCAGCAUGCCACGGUGAAUACGUUCCCGGGCCUU
rnacentral:rRNA from 1 species